rnacentral:rRNA from 1 species
GACGAACGCUGGCGGCGUGCUUAACACAUGCAAGUCGAACGGAAAGGCCCUGCUUUUGUGGGGUGCUCGAGUGGCGAACGGGUGAGUAACACGUGAGUAACCUGCCCUUGACUUUGGGAUAACUUCAGGAAACUGGGGCUAAUACCGGAUAGGAGCUCCUGCUGCAUGGUGGGGGUUGGAAAGUUUCGGCGGUUGGGGAUGGACUCGCGGCUUAUCAGCUUGUUGGUGGGGUAGUGGCUUACCAAGGCUUUGACGGGUAGCCGGCCUGAGAGGGUGACCGGCCACAUUGGGACUGAGAGACGGCCCAGACUCCUACGGGAGGCAGCAGUGGAGAAUAUUGCACAAUGGGCGGAAGCCUGAUGCAGCAACGCCGCGUGCGGGAUGACGGCCUUCGGGUUGUAAACCGCUUUCGCAUGUGACGAAGCGUGAGUGACGGUAAUGGGUAAAGAAGCACCGGCUAACUACGUG